UGGUGCUGGUACUAAAUCCUGUGCUAGAGUAGUAAGUAAUUACUAUAAAGAAUAUCACUAUAUGCUGGAAAACCCUAUUAUAUAUUAAUAAUAUGUUGGAUACAUUGUUAAUAUUAUAAAGGACAAUCAGCAGGAAACCAAAAAUAAAUAAUCUUUUAUUUAUUGAGUAGGAUCCUCAGAGACUAUACGUGAUACCCCUAUUUGGCUGUGAUGUUUACUAAAUAGGGUGAAGAUAUAGUCCAAUCUUAUACGUAAGUAUAAA
rnacentral:ncRNA from 1 species